rnacentral:rRNA from 1 species
AGUUCGGAUUNAAGGCUGAAAUUCGCCUUCAUGAAGUCGGAAUUGCUAGUAAUGGCAGGUCAGCAUACUGCCGUGAAUACGUUCCCGGGCCUUGUACACACCGCCCGUCACACCAUGAGAGUUGGAGAUACCCGAAGCCUAUGAGCUAACUUUUAGAGGCAGUAGUCGAAGGUAGAAUCAAUGAUUGGGGUGAAGUCGUAACAAGGUAUC